rnacentral:lncRNA from 1 species
GGCUAUGGACCUAGGACUUCCUGCCCCAGGGAGACAAGUACAAGAGCAGCAGCAGAUGUAAUCAGGACCCCGUCUGGGGUAACAGCCUGGAGCAGAUGCUGUCUAUGAGUGGUCUCUAUGUGCCAGCUGUGGCAGGGUGAGUGGGUGGGCUGAUUAUGAUUAAAUACAGGAUUGAGACAGGCUCACACAUAUGGGAAAUGUUAAGCUGGUUUACUUGCUGUAUUUCUGGUCUAGCCUCAAAUUUUCUCCAGCUGGACACUUCUGCAUAGUGAGAAAGCACAAAUCCACUUGGUGGAACACUGGAACAUCCUCAAACUUCCGGACUGACAUAGAUAAUCCAGCGUGAGGUGAUGGAACAUUAGGGAACUCAGCUAUGCAGAGUUGGGGAGGCAGAGAUGGAAGAGAUGAAAAAGGAAACGAAGUUCAGAUAUCCAGAUGUUCUGAGCUGUGGACAGAAGCUGACAUUCCCAAACAACCAUAUUCUGACCCCAUCCAGAUGUUCUGGCCUUACUUCUCAGGACAAUAUCCUCUGCUGAACUACCUAUAG